GCGUUUUUAUUAAUAAUAAACCGUGACGCACCUAGAGGCCGUUGGAUUUCCACAACCGUUCACGUGCUAUACAUCGAGAUUGGCUGCGUUCGCAGUUGAAGGCGCGCGGUCAACCUAAAGCCCCUUUUUCUUCUUAACGCGACCUCGCUAGGGUUUAGCUCUCUCACUUCAUCCUCGCUUUUCGAUCUCCUCGCAUUUCGAUCGCUCCCGAAUUGAUGGCCAAAUUCUCCUUCGAUCUUGAUGGCUCUCGAAGCGGACGUGCUGGUGGGCGGCGCCGAUCGGCCGCCGAUGCCGGGGAGAUAACGCCGUAGUCCUCGCCUGCGGUGCGGAUGGAUGCGGCGGCGGCGGCGGCGGCGGCGGCGAGGUGGUAGGACGUCGUGGCCAUUUGGAGGGAUGGAAUCUGUGGCAAAGAGGAGCCAGCUGAUGCCUUCGUGAAACCGAUUUGGUUUCAUAAAUGCUGUUUCCAUCCUGAAAAUAUAACAAGGCCUUGCGGCUAAGAAACAUGCAAAUAUUACGCCGUCAAAACAUGAUUUGCAGCCAUUGGAAAGAUUUAGGAUUAACAUGGAAUCAUAGAGAUGGCAUAUUUCUAUUGUUUUGGAUUCACUGUUUCGAGAUCUUCACAAUGGAGACUUUAUUGUGAGGUUUAAACGCAGUGAUAAAUCAAUAUCUUCUCACAUCUGCAUCUGGUCUUAAACUAAGAACCUUUCAAUCUUGAAAAAUUGUUUGGGAAAGACCGUAGCAGACAAAUUUGCAAGUGCAACAGACUUAUUUUUGUAUGUAGAUCUCCGAUAUGAUGUACUAUUAUGAGGAUCCUGAUCUUGCAUUGAAGUUGGACAAUAUCAAAUUAAUUAAAAAGAAAUGUGGUCGAGUGCACUGCAUCGAUCAAUAUCUCAUCUCUUCUUUGCUCAAAUGGCAUGACCAUCUGCAAUUGUAUCCAUCCUCCUCUGCUGAAGUUAUUAUGCUGUAGUUGCCAAAACAAUUCAUAAAAUAUAAAACAUAUUUAGCUAAUUUUACUUUGGAUGUCUCUUGGAUAACCGAUCAAAACUCCAUUAAAAAAUGGAACUGAUUAAGAAAUUAAGAAAUUGCUUAUCAGUUUUUUCUCUAGCAUGUUUCUGAGUCACACAGUCUGACAAUAAAAUGCUUCUUGAUGUCAUUUGGGUUUUAUUUGGUUUCUUUCAUAUUAAAAUAUAGUCAAAGCUAAAGUUUUGCAAAUGAAAGGAAAUUGUUUUUUACAGUUGUGUAAAAGGCUAACAAUAACUCCAUGAAUUGAGUUUGAAGCAUUAAAGUUACUCUUGUCAUAGGCUCUGUAACUAAAAGAUGGUAACUCGGUCACGGAUGCUGCAUUAGUGCACGAGUAUGAGUUCCAGAAUUGGAAUAAAACAAAAUAGGGGGUACAUUUAUUCACACAUCACAGACAUCUUAGGUGUCUGGCAAAUAUAAUCAUGGACAGAACUCAUUAAUGUGGAGCGAAAGAAGAGCCUGAAUAUUAAGAGUGAUGGACAUAGAUAUACUAUAUAUGAAAAUAAAAAAAUAAAAAGAGAAAUGAUUUUGUGCGAGUUCUUUCAAUUAUCUUCAACACUUGGGUGUAUUAUACUGUGUUGUCCAUGGAAGACCUGUAUGAAGGGAGCAAAAGAAAUUUUUGUUGCACUAAUGCAAUAACUAAGGCAAGGUGAGUGGGAUAUACAGUUUGUUGGAGUUGAUAGUUUUUGUGCCAUUGUUUGCUGUGAGGACUUGCACCUGAUCAUUGUUUUCCUGCUUUUGUGCUUGCCAAAAGUUUGAGAGACAAUUUAUUGUUCUCUUCUUCUAUUGCUUUUGUUCUCUUUUUCUUUGUAGCUGGUAAGCUUUUGAUUUUAUGUUGAUGCAAUAUUGCUUAUUGUUGAGGGGGCAUGUUAAAUUUUGACCUCUUCUGUUCCAUGUAUUGUGUCCCCAUUAUUUAGAUGUCAAUUAACAAAUAUAGUUUAAUUUGAAUUCA